AUGGCUAUUGUAAAGACACUUCAUUAUUUAGCUUUUCGAUCCGCCAUCUGUGGUGGAGCCGCCACCAAAAUGCAGAUUUCGUGAAAACUCUUAUGGGGAAGACCAUCACCCUCGAGGUUGAACCCUCGGAUAUGAUAGAAAAUGUAAAGGCCAAGAUCCAGGAUAAGGAAGAAAUUCCUCCUGAUCAGCAAAGACUGAUCUUUGCUGGCAAGCAACUGGAAGGUGGACGUACUUUGUCUGACUACAAUAUUCAAAAGGAGUCUACUCUUCAUCUUGUGUUGAGACUUCAUGGUGGUGCUAAGAAAAGGAAGAAGAAGUCUUACACCACUCCCAAGAAGAAUAAGCACAAGAGAAAGAAGGUUAAGCUAGCUGUCCUGAAAUAUUAUAAGGUGGAUGAGAAUGGCAAAAUUAGUCGCCUUCGUCGAGAGUGCCCGUCUGAUGAAUGUGGUGCUGGGGUGUUUAUGGCAAGCCACUUUGACAGACAUUAUUGUGGCAAAUGUUGUCUGACUUAUUGCUUCAACAAGCCAGAAGACAAGUAACUGUAUGAGUUAAUAAAAGACGCGAACUAACAAAAAAAAAAAAAAAAA